GCGCAGCAGUCGAGAAUCAUUCGCAAUGAGCGAAAGCUUGACGAUGCGACGCCGUGUGAGCGAUGAAGGCCUUCGGGUUGUAAAGCUCUUUCGCCUGGGAACAAGGGUUGGCUAUGAACAAUAGUUAAGCUUGAGGGUACCAGGUAAAGAAGCACCGGCUAACUCCGUGCCAGCAGCUGCGGUAAUACGGAGGGUGCAAGCAUUAAUCGGAAUUACUGGGCGUAAAGGGCGCGUAGGCGGAUUUAUAAGUCAGGUGUGAAAUUCUGGGGCUCAACCUCAGAGCUGCACUUGAGACUGUAAUUCUAGAGGGUAGGCGGAGAAAACGGAAUUCCACGUGUAGCGGUGAAAUGCGUAGAUAUGUGGAAGAACACCUGUGGCGAAGGCGGUUUUCUAGUUUAUACCUGACGCUGAGGCGCGAAAGCAAGGGGAGCAAACAGGAUUAGAUACCCCCGUAGUCC
rnacentral:rRNA from 1 species